UACGUAGGUGGCAAGCGUUGUUCGGAUUCAUUGGGCGUAAAGGGUGCGUAGGCGGCGCGGUAAGUCGGGUGUGAAAUCUUGGAGCUUAACUCCGAAACUGCAUUCGAUACUGCGGUGCUUGAGGACUGGAGAGGAGACUGGAAUUCAUGGUGUAGCAGUGAAAUGCGUAGAGAUCAUGAGGAAGACCAGUGGCGAAGGCGGGUCUCUGGAUAGUUCCUGACACUGAGACACGAAGGCCAGGGGAGCAAACGGG
rnacentral:rRNA from 1 species